rnacentral:rRNA from 1 species
CAGCCGCCACGGUAAUACGUAGGGUGCAAGCGUUAAUCGGAAUUACUGGGCGUAAAGCGUGCGCAGGCGGUUUUGUAAGACAGAGGUGAAAUCCCCGGGCUCAACCUGGGAACUGCCUUUGUGACUGCAAGGCUAGAGUACGGCAGAGGGGGAUGGAAUUCCGCGUGUAGCAGUGAAAUGCGUAGAUAUGCGGAGGAACACCGAUGGCGAAUGCAAUCCCCUGGGCCUGUACUGACGCUCAUGCACGAAAGCGUGGGGAGCAAACAGGAUUAGAUACCCCGGUAGUCCCUGUCUCUUAUAC